rnacentral:rRNA from 1 species
GGCAGCAGCCGCGGUAACACCGGCGGCCCGAGUGGUGAUCGUGAUUAUUGGGUCUAAAGGGUCCGUAGCCGGUUGGUCAGUCCUCCGGGAAAUCUGAUAGCUCAACUAUUAGGCUUUCGGGGGAUACUGCCAGACUUGGAACCGGGAGAGGUAAGAGGUACUACAGGGGUAGGAGUGAAAUCUUGUAAUCCCUGUGGGACCACCUGUGGCGAAGGCGUCUUACCAGAACGGGUUCGACGGUGAGGGACGAAAGCUGGGGGCACGAACCGGAUUAGAUACCCGGGUAGUCCCAGCCGUAAACGAUGCUCGCUAGGUGUCAGGCAUGGCGCGACCGUGUCUGGUGCCGCAGGGAAGCCGUGAAGCGAGCCACCUGGGAAGUACGGCCGCAAGGCUGAAACUUAAAGGAAUUGGCGGGGGAGCACAACAACGGGUGGAGCCUGCGGUUUAAUUGGACUCAACGCCGGACAACUCACCGGGGGCGACAGCAAUAUGUAGGCCAAGCUGAAGACUUUGCCUGAAUCGCUGAGAAGUGGUGCAUGG